rnacentral:rRNA from 1 species
AGAGACAGCAGUAGCCGCGGUAAUACGUAGGUGGCAAGCGUUGUCCGGAAUUAUUGGGCGUAAAGCGAGCGCAGGCGGUUUCUUAAGUCUGAUGUGAAAGCCCCCGGCUCAACCGGGGAGGGUCAUUGGAAACUGGGAAACUUGAGUGCAGAAGAGGAGAGUGGAAUUCCACGUGUAGCGGUGAAAUGCGUAGAGAUGUGGAGGAACACCAGUGGCGAAGGCGACUCUCUGGUCUGUAACUGACGCUGAGGAGCGAAAGCGUGGGGAGCGAACAGGAUUAGAUACCCCAGUAGUCCCUGUCUCUUAUAC